CUACUUUUUAAGUUGAGGAAUCUUUUCAGAACGGAGCAUUAAUUAAGGGGGUUUAUCCAUAAAUUUUACCUAAGAAGUUCGUGCCGAAAUAAAAGAGGUAAGGAUUCUUUUCCAAAUGUCAUAUAAUUUAGGGGUUAUCCGUAAAUUUACCACAUAAAUCUGGCAUAUUUGCAAUUUUCUCCCUAACAAAGACAGAUAUUACAUAUCCCUAUAUAGCACUCUAAGUUGGAGUUGUGUGUAUCGCCCUUUGUGUUGACCGUUGAAUAUUGUUUCUUCCUCCUUCUCAUAACCUAUUUUUAGGGCUUUUUGGGGCGUGUCGAGGGCCACGGCGAAGGUCGUGUCCAUGGCGACGGAGCAACCCAAAGAUACGGGAGGGAUACGGGAGGAUAUGGGGGAUAUGGUCGGAUUCUUUUUUGGUCUAAAAUGAUCGGAACUCAAAACUUUUCAAAUCGCCCACAUCCUGAACCAUUGCAAAUAAAGAAAGAGUGAGAAAAAUGUCAUUCUCUCUUCAAUUCGUCAUUUCUUUGAUCUCUUUGCUCGUGGAUGGUUGAAGGUGCUCUCUCUCGCUCUAUCUCCAUGCAUGAUUAAGCUAUGGUUAAAUCCUUUAUGACUUAGCUUUUACUUUCUCUUAUCUAAUUUAUCAACCUAGCACUAAUUAACAAAGGCCGUAGAGUGAUUUUUUUCUUCUUCUAUCAAAGUGUUAGCAUUUUUUUUAUUACUAUUUUAUAUAAUAAAAUAUAAUAAAACAGAUAUAUAUGAUGAAUUCAUCUAAUUUUCUAGUCUGUGCCACUAAAUAUCUAUUGUUAUUAUUUGAUCAAGUUGGAUGAUAGUUGAUUAAUACUUUUUGAAUUUAUUAUUUCAUACGAUUGAUUAUCUUUUUUGAUGAACAAAUCUAAAACAAUUAUGCAAGCAAAUAUAUAUCAGCAUAUAACAAAUAUCCUGA